rnacentral:rRNA from 1 species
CCUACGGGAGGCAGCAGUGGGGAAUUUUGGACAAUGGGGGAAACCCUGAUCCAGCAAUGCCGCGUGUGUGAAGAAGGCCUUCGGGUUGUAAAGCACUUUUGUCAGGAACGAAACGGCGGAGGCUAAUAUCCUCUGCUAAUGACGGUACCUGAAGAAUAAGCACCGGCUAACUACGUGCCAGCAGCCGCGGUAAUACGUAGGGUGCAAGCGUUAAUCGGAAUUACUGGGCGUAAAGCGUGCGCAGGCGGUUGUGCAAGACAGAUGUGAAAUCCCCGGGCUUAACCUGGGAAUUGCAUUUGUGACUGCACGGCUAGAGUGUGUCAGAGGGGGGUAGAAUUCCACGUGUAGCAGUGAAAUGCGUAGAUAUGUGGAGGAAUACCGAUGGCGAAGGCAGCCCCCUGGGAUAACACUGACGCUCAUGCACGAAAGCGUGGGGAGC